GAAGAAAAGAAGGGAGAAGAGAGCAAGGAAGAGAAAUAAUCCUCUUUUUAAAAAUGUAGGUGAUCAUGGCUUCCGUCUUGCCAGCUCUUUUCACGAUGAUAGUUAGCGCCGAUCUGUAUUCAAAGGCGCCGAAAUUUGCGUUUUGAUCUCCAAUACCUGCGCUCAUAACUUUCUUUUGUCUCUCGAGGUAUGAAGCUCGAGGACUUUACUUUUAUCUCUCGAGGUAUGAAGCUCGAGGACUUUACUUAUGUCUCUCGAGGUAUGAAGCUCGAGGACUUUACUUUUGUCUCUCGAGGUAUGAAGCUCGAGGACGAGGGCGUUGAAGGCAUGCCUCUAGCCUGCGCGAGUUGAGGAAUGUCUCAUGGAGAUGCGGGGAAGUCAUUUUUUUCUUUCUUAUUAACAAGUCGUCGGAAUGCAAGCUUGCCUCCAAACUUCAAUAAUUUAUUGAAUGUAGCGCAUGAAUUGCAGGCUACCGUAAAUUCAUGCUACGAAAAUUUUCGAAAUUCGUUUGGAGUGGAAUAUUCAUCAACCAGUAAAAGGUUGGUCACUUCUUAUUGCAGCUUCUGCCCGCUCCAUAAAUUCGAAAUUAAAAUAACAUCUAAUGAUAUUAUUGGAUUCAUGUAAUUCUGAGGCAGGUUUUUCUUCUGCAUUACAAUUACAGAGGGGAAAUAACAGUUCUUCUUGAAUUAAUAAUGGGUUAAAUUUAGCUGUUUUUUUACAAGCAGUACAAGAAUUUUCAUCCUCAGAAAUUAAAUUCAUUUUCGCUCGUGUACAGCAUUUCCCUUCAGCAGACAGGCUAGCAGUCAAGUUAUCAACUGCUAAUAAAUGGGUUGCUUACAAAAAAGAUAAUCAUGAAAGGAGAACUGUUUUAGAGUGUGCGUUAUUUUUAUUGUACCGCGAGGGCAUACUAGUUUCUUAAACGUAAUAUUUUCUAGUCAGGAAUACCAUUCAACAAUUUUUAGACGAUAAUGGGAAAAGCUUUAUGUUACAAUGUUCGAGGAAGCUCGAAGAAGAGAUUAUCAUAUACCAUGCGAAGUCAAUUUCUGUAAAUAUCUUAUAAAGCAGUGAUAUUAAUCAUGUUCCCUAAACGCAGCAUUUCAGAACACGUACUGGUUCAGCGACCAUUUUCAUAGACAAUGUCCAUGGAUGUGCUCAGGUUUUUUAGUCUCUUGUGCUCUCACCUUUAAGAUUUUCUUUGUAAUUCCAAUGAAGUUUAAAUUUAUAAAUCCUCCCUACCCAAACAAAAGAAAACUCAGAAUUGACCGCCAACUUGAAGUUAAGUGAAAACAUCCCGUUACCCUCGAAAUGUAGUACGUAACAUUACCAUUUUAAUUAUCUUGCCAACUUUCUACUUCCCUCAUCAGUAUUCAUAGCGAGACCUAAUAGGGAAUUGUCUAUUUAUCUACUUCUUUCUACGUAGAAUUUUACACUUGAAUGAUUUGGAUACGGAUUUAGGUAGUGAAAUAUGAAUCUUGUUCGCUGGCGCGUCUUUUGACCAAACUUUCUGCAAAGACGCCAAGCUUUACUGCUACUAUGACGUGAACUUUUCGAUUACACUACUCGGCUUUUCCUGCUCGAUGAUCCACUAAGGCUUAUUGCUGAAACUUUCUCCUUGGGUAUAUUAAAGGUUAGAAAACUUAAUGGUUUUCUGGCUACACUGUGAAUUGUAUUCGGAUUCGGACUUUAAUUUAGACUAUGUGAUCUGUUUCGGAUGUCACACUGGUAUUGCGAAUUUUUUUUCCAUCUGGCUGAUCAGAAAACUUUGUUAAUAUUUCAUUACUUGGAAAUUCUUGCCUGUUUCAAGUUCAAGUUAUAAAGUCACGCUUCAAGUUCCCAUUUUUAAUUUCGGGUUAUUUAGUAACAACUUUUCUUAGGCGUUGCCUCCAAGCAAGCUCGUAGAAGACCUUAGACAUCAUGUACUUCAAACUAACGCUGCGUUGAUAUUAGUUUGGCAGAUAAUUAUGUCCCCGAAUUUUCGAAAAAUUCACAAUUUUCCUAAUACCGGACGUUUAGUUGCAAAGAGAAGUUUUUGAACAGCUAAUUUUUAAUUCGAACAAUCACAUAAAAUAUAUCUAUCUGUUUCUACGAUCUAACUUGAACAAAAUUUGUCGUUACGCUAUCUCAACUGUCAAAGUUUGUUAGUAAAAUUCACAUUUUUGGGAGAAAACAUCACCGCUUUUGAAUUGCAUCUGUCAUAUGUUUUUUGUUCUCAGCAAAGAAGGAAGUCGGGAAUAAGCUCCGUAUUGUGAGUUCUGAAACACGAAGUCUCAAUUUUUACUCGAGUCGAUAAUGUGCUUAAGUGAUGCUCUAAAAUCUUAUUGUUUGACAACAGGAUUGAGUGACCUUUCUUUAGCACACGGAUACGCUAAUGAGAUUAGUCACUGCCACUGUACUUGAGGGUUCCCGCCACUUGCUUGUACAUAGCGCCACUCCUUUAGAGCUCAUGCAGAAUUCGCCACCUCAUUUGAAUCGUUGCAAUUUCUGUUCGGAAGCGCUUACUUGUAAUUGUAGAGAUUCUUUUAUACUCUACGCUGUGUCAUUUACUGUGGUGAAGCCAUCGAAAAAAUUCAUUUGUCAUGUAAACUUGAUAUAUUUUUGUCUUAUGUUUUGAAGUAAUAUGGGCAUUUCUUUCGCAUUCCAUUUGAAAAUUUAUGACUGUUAAUUGCGUCAAUGUCACGAUUCAGUUGAUGAGAAGGGGUCAUGGUAAUCCUAUUAUGAAUAUUUGUAUUAAUAGUUAAUUAACUUAUUUAUUGAGUCACUAUGUGUCUAUAUUUACCUGAAAGUGUGCUAUAAUUAUUAAAUUAAAAAACUUAAUAUUUCAAAGUUCACAGUUAUGAUUCUCGGAAUUUUUUGAUGCACAUUAUACUAACUAGAGACUUUUCUCUAAUCUUUGUGAUGGAAGUGAUUGCCAACCGAGCAGUGUAACCAGGAAGAUUGAAGUCUAUUUUGCGACUUGUUUUCGAAUAACUUUCAUACGAAGUGAUGGUCUUUUCCGAUAUUGACUAUUCUUUAUCAUCUUCAUCAUUUAUGAAUGAAAAAAGCGGUAUCUUGAAAAGCAAAGUGCAAAUCUCAUGAAAGUGCUUCUCCAUCAAAGAUCAUGCCGCGAAUCGUUCCAACUUUUUAAAACUUUUACCAUAAAAUUCGUAUGUUCAUGUUUGCUUCAAAAUUUCCCUUGUAAGAUAAUGUUCUCUCAUUUUAAAGCUUUGUGUACAUAUGUAAUAUUAAGCAAUAGACCCUAUAAAAUAAUAUAAAGAUUAGUGUUGCUACUCAAGAUGCCAGAGACAAAUAAAUGUGAAGGCGGCAAUGGCAAGAUAGUUGUCCCAGGGCGUUCAUACCCUCGCUUUACUCUUGUGUUGUAGUGUUGCAUAUUGAGGCAUUCCGUUGAAGGUAAAUUGAAUUUAUUAUAGUUGAAAAUUUUUCUCAAAUCCUCCUCCGCAAGAAAAAUAAGGAACGAGUUAUCCUUCUUUCUCUUUUGUGCCCCAAAAGCUGCAUCAACGGUGAGUGCUGAGUUGAUGCGAGUGAGUCUUCAUUGCAUCAAAAUCUUUUUCCCGUUACUGAGUAAUAGCGUUAAUUUCCAUAUCGUGGAAUUUUGGUUUACAAACUUUCGAUCAAACAGCACAAAUUGAGAGGACGACCCAGCGGCACUGCCAUUUAGCUUGUUCAUAGUUAGCAGGAUUUUGUAGGCCUUCACGAAUUGUUUGUUCGUAGGCUUAAGUCCUCAACCUUCUCUGUGUGAGUCUAGGUGAGCGUAUCUUGUGUGUGCGAGUCGAUAUUCUACAUCUUGCAUCCCCUUUUUAUUUCACUUGUAAUUAAAAUUAUCACAAAAUCUAUACAAUUGUCAAGUUUGAUCUCAUGUGGCAACACUUUUGUGGUAUUCUGCAGUUUUGUAGUGCGAAAUUAUCAGAGAAAUAAUGUGCUUCUCAUUGAGAACUUUAAAAAAAAAUCCAUCGAAAUUUACUCGCUUCGCUCUGACAAAAGAUACCAGAACAAAUAAUAUGACCUUAUAAUUCGAAUGUCAAGUCAAUCAUAAUAUGAAAGCAAAGAAAACUACAAUUUGAAUUAAAACAGCCAUUCAGGAUUAUGCAAGAUGAUGAGGGCAUCAGCACUACUGACAUCUGCUUGGGAUUAAAAUUUGUCUGUGUAAGUUCAAGUCGCUUGUUCAAUGACAUAUCGAUGAUCUUUGUAAAAUAUAUCGCCUUGUGUUAUAGUGUACUCCACAUUCAUGAUACCUUUUUUAAUUUGAUCUUACCACUCAAUUCGACUGUUCAAGGACAAGUAGACAGCCAUACGCGCCAAAAUGAGUCAUUACUCCUUGGCAGAAACUCGGAAAUUGUCGCGGUUUAAUUUUUUGGAAAAAAUAACCUAUCCCAUUUGAGCACGGGUUUGAAUUUGAUUAUCAAACAUCGAAUCAACUUAUCAACAUCUUAUCAAGCUUUGAAUUUGAUUGUCAAGUAUCGGUGUUUAGAUUACCCAGCAACACCAGUUUGUCUAAUGCGUAUAACGUUAAUGUCUUGGAAUGGGCUUGUUUAGACUACAUGCAUUUCUUCCCAUCCUAGUCCAUGCUAAAGUUUGACUUCUUUGAUAAGUCAUGUUGUCAGUGGAUGUGAAUGACGUGGGGGAUUGUUCCAAACAAUGUUCUAAUUCUGUUCUGAAAUUUUUUUCUAUGGUUUUGAGAAACCCUUGAGAACUCAGUACUUGUUUCGUAUUGGAUCGCAAUAUGGACGAAAAUGUGUCUAGUCAUCAGCUUUAUUAAUUUAUUUUACCAUGGAAAAAUUCAUUUUGAAAGACGCUUGCUAUGAAAAAUAAAAUCUAAAUUUAAAAUAUAUAUAUUCAAACCAAUUAUGAUAAUUACUUAACGCGCUUAAACAUUCAACAGUGCACAACUGGUCCACCCUUGAUUGCGCUUGCUGCCUCUCUAACCGAUGCGACCAUGCAUAUAAUUAGGAUUUUGCUUGCUUUUGUACCUGCUAACCGAUGGGCAGCCAAAAAAUUUGACCUCUUCCAAAUGAGCGCACAAAACUGCAUGGCGGAAGAGUGGAUCGAAAUGCACAACGCAUGUAAACAAAUUCAUUCAACUUAACAAAUACUCGCACUUGUGCACAAAUUGGGCAUUCGACUUUAUGCGUGAUUCUUCUCAUAUAGAAGUUCAUAUUGCACAAAACAUGUUUUUUUUUCACUGGUUUAUAAUUGUACUACUUUUAAGCUUGUUAAUUAAAUAAAUUCUCAUAAUCGUAUUUUUAAUCUUGAUUUGUGGGUUUUAUGUUAAUAAUGGAUUUAUGUACAAAGAUGUUAAAGAAGUGGGAAGGUAUAAGCUUAUGAACUUGCAUAAUGAAAAACAUAUCUUUUACUUAUUCUUGAACGAAGAGUGGUGUGAUUAACAACUUUUUGAGCGCUCUAAAUUCUGAACUAAUUGCAUAUUGGUCUAAUUCUCAAUCUAUAACUCAAUCUAAAGUUUAUUUUAAGCCAUUUCGUGUAAAAAUAACUUUGUGUUUGAAUUUGCAAAAUAUCAUUUAGUGAAUAAUAUCAACAACGAAGGGAUGGGAUCAUUGGAAAACAAAUUUCGUGCGAUAGCCUCGGGAAUAAAUUUGUUUCGAUUUACCCCGCGCCGUGUGAAGUCUCCACACGGAACCUCGUCCCGCUCGGUGAUUUGCUCAAUUUAUAACGACAAAAAUUUAGUUGGAUAUUUGAUAUCAAAAAGUCGGUUUUCAGGAAAACUUGCUGUGUUAAUUCAAUUGACAUGUUCUCUUAAAGUAUCUCUGAAAACUCCCUGACAGAGCAAAAAAACUUCUGAGAGAAUUUGUUUAAAAGUCUGCAGCUCCAUUUGAGUUUCCUCGGUCCUUCCCACGCUACUGUUUUCUCUGUGCAAAAAGAAAUUAAAUUGAUCCAGAGGAACGAACACAUUCAUUCGGCCAAUUAAAAUUGUUCUGUAGCAGUAAAAUACAACUUUUUUUCAUGGAUAUGAAGUAAUUAAAAAAUAAACGCUGCUCACUUAAACGAUGUAUUUAGCAAGAAUUGCUUGUUAACCUUCAAUUGAUUUAUAAACAAAAAAAUUACUUAUAUUUAUUUAAAAAUCAAAAAAUUUCAGGAAUUGCAUAAGAUAACGCGAGCACGUCUCCCCACAGCUAGGAGCAGUCCUGUGAGCGGUGCCAUCUGCCACUUACGAGGAUUUUUUCAAUUAGUGGAAUCGUAUUUAUUGUGCGUGAGAUUAUCUUGUGGUGCUAAACAUUUGUUCAACCUAACUUUAACGAAUAUAGAAGUUGUCUCCGUGCGUGUUUCCGUCUUCGUGCUUGAAACAUUAGGUUGCGUGUGUGAUUUAUGACAUUAUGAUUUAAAUGUGCAGGUGUAAACUCAAUGAUUAUUUAGUGAUGUGAAUGAUCUAUCAGCAUAUAAUCUCGACUAUUGUUAGUUUUCCCUAGCAUCAACUUCUUGUGGAUACCUGAAUGUGUUCUUAUAGUACCAAACUAUCGAUAUUUUCAAUUGUAAAAGUUCUUUCCUUUUAAAACUUGAUUGAAGCGAUGGAUAUGAAAUAACACAAUUAUGAGAAAUUGUUUUUCGAGUGGAAUUUGUAGGAAAAUCUGAUAAGUAAUUUUGUUUACUAACUUUGAUUUUCUUGGAAGAUGUAUGCUUUAUAACAUUUUCUUCUGGUCAUUAUAGCGAAGGCACGACUUAUGAUCGCCACUAUCAAGGGACCGAUAUUAAAACAGCAAUUAACGACCCAAUAGAGAAUUAUUAAUACCCAAUUAACGACCCAAUUAAUUAGAGAAUUAUGAACAUUGGCCGCUGUCAUGCUUUAUUAUUUUAAUGUGUUUUCCUUGAAAAAUUUUUUUGUUGGAAUGUUAUAGGAAAGGCUAUCGUAGCUCGAAUUGCUAAUACAGAAAAAAAUCACAAUUUUCUAUUCACCUGCUCGUUAUCAUACGUUGUCUUUGAAAUAUUUUCUGUCAGAAGCGUCAGGUUUUCGCUUGAUCAAGUGUAACAUUUCACGGACGAGUGGUUUAUUAUAAUUAUGGUGCCCUGUAAUUUUCUUUGCAUUGAUUGGACAUCUUGUGUUUUGUGUUAAAUUUUGAACUUUGCAAUAAAUGUUCCAAAUCUC